rnacentral:rRNA from 1 species
ACAAAAAUGCACAUGCUGUGAGCUCGAUGAGUAGGGCGGGACACGUGGUAUCCUGUCUGAAUAUGGGGGGACCAUCCUCCAAGGCUAAAUACUCCUGACUGACCGAUAGUGAACCAGUACCGUGAGGGAAAGGCGAAAAGAACCCCGGCGAGGGGAGUGAAAAAGAACCUGAAACCGUGUACGUACAAGCAGUGGGAGCACGCUUAGGCGUGUGACUGCGUACCUUUUGUAUAAUGGGUCAGCGACUUAUAUUCUGUAGCAAGGUUAACCGAAUAGGGGAGCCGAAGGGAAACCGAGUCUUAACUGGGCGUUAAGUUGCAGGGUAUAGACCCGAAACCCGGUGAUCUAGCCAUGGGCAGGUUGAAGGUUGGGUAACACUAACUGGAGGACCGAACCGACUAAUGUUGAAAAAUUAGCGGAUGACUUGUGGCUGGGGGUGAAAGGCCAAUCAAACCGGGAGAUAGCUGGUUCUCCCCGAAAGCUAUUUAGGUAGCGCCUCGUGAAUUCAUCUCCGGGGGUAGAGCACUGUUUCGGCAAGGGGGUCAUCCCGACUUACCAACCCGAUGCAAACUGCGAAUACCGGAGAAUGUUAUCACGGGAGACACACGGCGGGUGCUAACGUCCGUCGUGAAGAGGGAAACAACCCAGACCGCCAGCUAAGGUCCCAAAGUCAUGGUUAAGUGGGAAACGAUGUGGGAAGGCCCAGACAGCCAGGAUGUUGGCUUAGAAGCAGCCAUCAUUUAAAGAAAGCGUAAUAGCUCACUGGUCGAGUCGGCCUGCGCGGAAGAUGUAACGGGGCUAAACCAUGCACCGAAGCUGCGGCAGCGACGCUUAUGCGUUGUUGGGUAGGGGAGCGUUCUGUAAGCCUGCGAAGGUGUGCUGUGAGGCAUGCUGGAGGUAUCAGAAGUGCGAAUGCUGACAUAAGUAACGAUAAAGCGGGUGAAAAGCCCGCUCGCCGGAAGACCAAGGGUUCCUGUCCAACGUUAAUCGGGGCAGGGUGAGUCGACCCCUAAGGCGAGGCCGAAAGGCGUAGUCGAUGGGAAACAGGUUAAUAUUCCUGUACUUGGUGUUACUGCGAAGGGGGGACGGAGAAGGCUAUGUUGGCCGGGCGACGGUUGUCCCGGUUUAAGCGUGUAGGCUGGU